rnacentral:lncRNA from 1 species
UAAUUCCUUAGUGUUUGUAAUAAGGAUUCAUAAUUGAAAUCAAUAAAGAUCAUUUGGUUUGAUUUGAGUUUGAUUACUAGUAUAUUACAACUUGAUAUCAGAUCCCAAUCCUGGCCCAAUGACGAUUACAGUAAUAAGAGCGAACAAAUGUAGAAGAAUCUAUUAAGAAAUUGGAUCUACAAUUUCAUAGUUACAUGGAGUCCAAUGAUGCUAAAAUGGAGGAUCUAGCUAAUAAAAUGGAUCUUCUAAUAGAGAAGUUGAUUUCCACCCAAGAUGGAAUUCUGGGGAAUGCACCAGGUCUUCAAUUGGACGCUUUUGGAAGCAGGACCCACAUGAAUGAGCCAUUCGAGCAAACUCGAGGUCCAAGGAGUAAUCACCAUGGCAGAUUUUAAUUUCCCUUCUUUGAUGGAGUUGACCCUGUUCAUGGUUGAGGAAAUGGUAGAAGUAUUUUCACUAUAGCCGAAUCAAUGAUCCUUAUGAAAGCUUGAAAUUGCUGUCCUGCAUUUAACAGGUAAAGCUGAAGCAUGGUUUUUCUCAUAUCAUGUAGUAACGGUAUAAUUAAAUGGAAUGAAUUUACUGAGGAAAUCUGUAACAGAUUUGAAGGAUCUUAUAACAGUAAAUUCAAUCUAAUUGGGGAAUUUAAGAAAAUAGAACAGAAGGGAACAAAGGAGGAAUAUUUGGAGAAGUUUGAAGACUUAAAGGCAUCGGUUUUGAUAAGAAACCCUACUAUUCCAUAAGAUUUAUUUCUGGAAUUUUUUUGUAGAAGGCUUAAAGGAAGAAAUAAGGCACACAAUUAAGAUGCUAAACCCUUGUACACUAAGUCAAGUUGUGGAUAAGGCUAGACAAAUAGAGAGACUAAUCCAGGCUCAGAUUAGAAGGGAGAAAACACAGUGGGGAAGGGGCACUACUACAGGGCUAAAUCAGAAUAGUGGAGUACUUGUGAGGGGAACUAACUCUACAUGGAGAGGUUUGAGUAACAAACUCUUUGAGUCAAGAAGAGCUCAAGGUUUAUGCUAUAAAUGUGGUGAGAAGUAUCAUGUAGGACACCAGUGUAAAUCUAAGCAGUUGAAUGCCAUGUCUGCUUCAGUGAAUCCAACUUAAGAAGAGCAGAAUGAAGAUCUGGACAGAGAAGUUAGGGCACUGGAGGAGAUUUCAGUAGAAGAGGUAAUGGAUGAAGCUAUUAGCCUGAAUGCAUUGUCAGGUACUGAAGUUCCAAAUACCAUCAAGUUAAGGGGGGAGGCAAAGAAGAACAAGAUCACUAUUUUACUAGACUCAGGGAGUACUCAUAGCUUCCUAGAUCUAGAGACUACUAGAAAGAUAGGAUGUCAAAUUCUUGAGGCAGUUCCUAUGAGAGUCACCGUGGCAAAUGGAAAUCACAUUACUAGCUUACAUUCUUGUCCUAGAUUCAAGCAGUGAAUACAAGGGGUAGAAUUGGAGGAUGAUGUGAUACUGGUCAGAUUGGGAGGCAAUGAUAUGAUACUAGGAGGUGAUUGGAUGAAAGGGCACAACCCUGUACUCCUAAACUUCAUUGAGUACAAGGUUCAGGUGACACACAAGGGUAAAAGAGUAGAUCUUAAAGGCAUUUACAGUCAGGGAGAAUUAAAAAACAUGACAACAAAAUGGGGGUGAAACAAUUAUUGAAGAAACGACAAGCUAUAUAGGCACAUCUAUUCACAAUUUCAUCCCAAGAGAUACCAAGAUCAGAAAAAUUACCUGCAGAAAUUUCUGAAGUGCUGACAGACUUCAAGGAUGUAUUUGCUGAACCCAAUUCUCUUCCACCAAAAAGAGGUCAUGAUCACCACAUUCCCCUGAAAAGAAAUGCAAAUCCAGUAAGCUUGAGGCCUUACAGGUAUAACUGCUUUUAGAAAAAUGAGAUUGAGAAACAAGUUAAUGAAAUGUUAACUAAUGGUAUAAUAUAACCCAAUCAUUCUUCCUUCUCUUCCCCAUUAUUAUUGGUCAAAAAGAAAUAUGGUAAUUGGAGGUUUUGUAUAGACUACAGGAAACUUAAUAAUUUGACAGUUAAGGACAGGUUUCCUAUACCAUUAGUGGAUGAUUUAAUGGAUGAAUUAAUUGGUUCUUGUGUCUACUCUAAAAUUGAUCUUAGGGCUGGGUAUCAUCAAAUUAGAAUGGGUGAGGAAGAUAUAUAUAAAACUACUUUUAGGACACAUUUGGGGAAUUAUAAGUUUAGAGUCAUGCCUUUUUGUCUAACUAAUGCCCGUGCAACCUUUCAAAGUCUCAUGAAUCACAUUUUUCAAUCAUUUCUCAUAAAGUUUGUGUUAGUUUUCUUUGAAGAUAUUCUAGUAUAUAGUCCAAAUAACUAUGUCUACACAAUUCAUCUUAGAAAGGUUGUGGAGAUUCUGAGAAGAAAGCAACUUUAUGCUGAGCUGUCCAAACGCUCAUUUGGGCAGAAGAAGGUGGAAUAUUUGGGACAUAUCAUUUCAGGAGAGGGUGUGGCUAUUGACCAUGCCAAGAUUGAGGCUAUUGUUAAUUGGCCUAGACCAAAGACUAUUAAGAAUCUAAUGGGAAUUCUGGGUCUUACAGGCUACUAUAGGAGAUUUGUAAGGUCCUAUGGAAUUAUCAGUUAACCUCUAACCAACCUCCUCAACAAGAACUCUUUCCAAUAGUCAGAAGAAGCAGAGAUAGCCUUCCAACAACUCAAGGCAGCCAUGUCAUCAGCCCCAAUGUUAGCCUUAGCUGAUUUCACAAAACCAUUUAUUGUGGAAACUGAUACUUGUUCCACUAGAAUGGGAGUAGUACUAUUGCAGGAUGGCAGACCAUUGGCAUAUUUCACCAAGGCCUUAUCUCAGAACAACAUGGGAUUAUCAAUCUAUGAGAAGGAGUAUUUGGUUAUACUAACAACAUUAGAUAGGUGGAGGCAUUACUUGAUGGGGGGACACUUCAUUAUCAAGACAGACCAUCAAAGCCUCAAGUACUUAUUAGAUCAAAAGAUUACUAUUGCUCUUCAACAUAAAGGUCUUACCAAACUACUGGGCCUAGACUAUGAGGUCCAAUACAAGAAGGUGCUGAAAAUGGAGUUGCUGAUGCCCUAUCAAGAAAAGAAGAGGAAGAACCUAUGUGUGUGCCACUACUACUACUGUUGAACCUACUUGGAUACAUGAAGUAGUUCAAAGCUAUGAACUUGACCCUGUAGCUCAACAACUGCUGCCAGAGGUAAUCACAGGCCCCUCAGGCAAGCCUGACUAUACCCUUCAGCAGGGCAUUAUCAGGUAUUACCAAAAGGUGUGGAUAUGGAGAGGAGCUGGUAUGAGACAGAAAAUAUUUGAAGCCCUUCAUCAGUCUCCAUUGGGGGGGGGGCACUCUGGACAACUGAGGACUUACAAAAGAAUAAGAAUGAGCUUUUAUUGACCUAAUAUGAAGACUGAGAUCUCUAAAUGGGUGGCUGAAUGUGAUACAUGUCAGAGGAUAAAAAGUGAAAAUGUCCAUUCACCAGGACUAUUAUAGCCCCUUCCCAUCCCAGAAUUGCCUUGGCAAGAUAUUUCCAUGGAUUUCAUAGAGGGGUUACCUUCUUCUGAACACAAGGAUGCGAUACUAGUGAUCAUUGACAGACUAACUAAAGAUGGUCACUUCUUAGCCUUGAAACACCCUUAUACAUCUAAGGAUGUAGCUGAACUAUUUCACAAGACAUCUAUAGAUUGCAUGGACUUCCUAAAUCAAUUGUGACUGACAAAGAUACAAUGUUUACCUAUCAAUUUUGGCAGCAGUUAUUCAGAUCAUUGGGUACUAAGCUUAAUAUGACCACAGCUUAUCAUUCCUUAGUCAGAUGGUCAAACUGAACGACUCAAUUGAUGCUUGGAGACUUACCUAAGGUUUAUGGUUUUUGCCUGUCCUAAGAAAUGGUGAAAAUGGCUUCCCUUGGCAAAGUGGUGGUAUAAUACUAACUACCACAGCUCACUCAAGUCUACUCCUUUUCAAUCAUUAUAUGGGUUUCCACCUCCACAGAUUCCUAUAGGAUCCUUACCCCAUACCAUACAAUCUCUGGUGUGUAUUUGGCUCAAAGGCAACAUAUGUUAGGAGUACUUAGGGAAAAUUUAACUCGGGCCCGAGCCGGAAUGAAGUUCUAUGAAUAUAGAACAGGUCAGAUAGAACUUUGGAGAUGGGUGAUUUAGUCUACUUUAAGUUACAGCCUUACAGACAGUUAUCAGUAGCAGUAAGAAAGAAUCUGAAGCUAAGUGCCUAAUAUUAUGGACCUUACAAAGUAUUACAAAGAUUGGUUCAGUAGAUUACCGUUUGGAGAUGCGUUCGAGUUCACAGAUACAUCAUGUCUUUCAUGUAUCUCAGUUGAAGAAGAGGGUGAGAUUUUCUAUCACACCUAUGCAGAAACCUCCUAUUUGUGAUGACACUGAUCGUGUGCUAGUUCAACCAGGGGCUAUCUUGGAUCACAAGAUCGUUAAGGUCAACAACGCUGCUCAGGUGAAUGUAUUGAUACAGUGGGCAAAUCGUGGGCAUGAUGAAGCAACGUGGGAGGAUUGCAGAUUUAUCAAAGGUCAAUUCCUAGAUUUUAUUGCUCAUUCUUAAAUUUGAGGACAAGGUCUCUGUUGAUUGGGGAGGCAUUGUAAAGAUUGAGAAAUGGAAUUAGAAGGAGAAGAGGGAUUUAGAAAGACCAAAUAAGGAAAUAGGGCUAAUGAAAUUAGAAAGGGGCCGGAGUUACUAAAGAGAGGUAAUAAAGAAUGAACGGUGAAGAUUAAAAGAAGCUGGGUUAAUCCAAGGGCUGAGAUUAAUUCUAGUCCAACUAAAUAGUUAGUUGGGCCAGCCCAAUAAUCAGUUUUUGGCCAGUACAUUCUCAAACUGUUUCUCUCUCUCUAUUCUUUUUCUUUCUCUCAUCUCUUUCACUUAUAUUUCCACCAUUAAUCUUCUCUUCUUGUUAUCACUUCCAAAUCUCCAUUUCAGGUUGAACUACUUCGUAUUGGAGCUACAAGCUGGAGGAACCAUUAUUGUUGUAGCUAUUAUA